CAAUAGCGUAUAUUAAAGUUGUUGCAGUUAAAAAGCUCGUAGUUGGAUUUGUGGCGUACGGUGUGUUCCGGGCACUUGUUGUCUGAGUAACCUGCUGUUGCCAUCCUUGGGUGGAACCUGUGUGGCAUUAGGUUGUCGUGCAGGGGAUGCCCAUCAUUUACUGUGAAAAAAUUAGAGUGUUCAAAGCAGGCUUAUGCCGUUGAAUAUAUUAGCAUGGAAUAAUGAGAUAGGACUUUUUUGCUAUUUUGUUGGUUUGCGCAAAGAGGUAAUGAUUAAUAGGGACAGUUGGGGGUAUUCGUAUUCCAUAGUCAGAGGUGAAAUUCUUGGAUUUUUGGAGGACGAACUACUGCGAAAGCAUUUACCAAGGAUGUUUUCAUUAA
rnacentral:rRNA from 1 species